rnacentral:rRNA from 1 species
UACGUAGGGUGCGAGCGUUAAUCGGAAUUACUGGGCGUAAAGCGUGCGCAGGCGGGCUUUAAGCCAGACGUGAAAUCCCCGGGCUUAACCUGGGAAUGGCGUUUGGGACUGGAAGUCUGGAGUGCGGCAGAGGAGACUGGAAUUCCUGGUGUAGCGGUGAAAUGCGCAGAUAUCAGGAGGAACACCGAUGGCGAAGGCAGGUCUCUGGGCAUUAACUGACGCUGAUGCGCGAAAGCGUGGGGAGCAAACAGG